CUUUCUGGUUGGAGGAAGACCAUUUUUAAGACAAAAGAAUAUGGGUGGCUGCACUCCUCUGCUAGGACCUACACCAGAGUUAAUACGAAAGCUUCACAUGUGAGAUAAAUGCCCUCAAAGACUCCUCACAAGUAGCUCUUUGGAGCUUCAGAUGUGAAAUGGAUCAUUCCUCAAUCUGUAAUAGACCCUUCUGUGAAGCUCUUCAAUCAAACCUGAGAAUUCAAGGCAUUUUGUAGCAUCCUAAACAGAAGGAUAUUGAAGGGAGCUGAUUCUGCUUUGAUCCUUGUGCUUGUUGUCAAAGCGCUUGGGAUUGAAGAGACUGUUGGCUACAAUUGACUGUGACAAUUAGGAGAUGAUCAGAGCCCUAGAGUGGAGCACU